ensembl:lncRNA
CUUGACCCUAUUCCAAGGGAUAUUGGUAAUAGUUUUGCAUGACAAUGUGGGAUUUUUCCUUUUAAACAACAAUGAUUACUCUCCUUUCUUUUAUAUUUUAAUUCAUUUAAUAAUUACUCCAACACAUUUCUCUUCCUUCAGGGUCUUACACAUACACUUUUCCGUCAAUCAAAUAAACGUGACUGACAAUAUAUUUCCGGCGUCAGUGGCUGUUUUCUAAGAUAACCCUACAUCAUUUCUGAGAGCCUAGUGCAAGAAUUACAAAAUCCUCAUGUCCCGACGUAUCACGUUACAACCCUGAAACCAUAGUGAGGUUUUCAGGUGGCAUUCAUUAACUUGAGCAAUUGCAUUUCUUUGGAAAUGGACGUUACUUAGGUAGCUUUUAGACACAAAUACUGGCAAACUAAGAUAUUACCUGCAUUUCCCUUAUGAUGCUAAGAAAUCUUGUUUAGAAAUACAUGCAUGAUUGUGUGUUUUCUCUCAGCUAGGAUGAUGGCUCAGUUCAAGGAUGAUUGGAGGAGAGAACAGUUCCAGAAUGGUGAGUCUGUGCUGGUCCAACAGAGGCCCUGCUCAUUGUGGGGGAGUGUCA